GCAUAUCAAUAAGCGGAGGAAAAGAAACUAACAAGGAUUCCCUUAGUAACGGCGAGUGAAGCGGGAAGAGCUCAAAUUUGAAAUCUUCAAGGUUCUACCUUGACGAAUUGUAGUUUAAAGAAGUGUUUUCUGUUAGAUGAGUAGCAAAAGUUCCUUGGAAUGGGACAUCAUAGAGGGUGAGAAUCCCGUAUUUGGUUAUUCAUUCUGGCUUUGUGAUGCACUUUCAAAGAGUCGGAUUGUUUGGGAAUGCAGUCCAAAAUGGGUGGUAAAUUUCAUCUAAAGCUAAAUAUUGGCGAGAGACCGAUAGCGAACAAGUACCGUGAGGAAAAGAUGAAAAGAACUUUGAAAAGAGAGUUAAACAGUACGUGAAAUUGUCAAAAGGGAAGCGUUUGACACCAGUGUUGUUUUUCCGAAAAUCAAUUACGAAUGGCUUGAUUUUGUGUUGUAUUGACCUUAUCAGCUUUCUGCACUUUUUUCGAGUCUUUCUUAAUGUACUUUUCGGUUAACAAGUCAACAUCAAUUUCUUUUGUUGUAAAAGAGUAUUCGGAAGGUGGCUUUCUUUUCGGAGAAAGUGUUUAUAGCCCUAUACUUCUACAAUCGGAGAGAUUGAGGUCUGCAGCGUAGAUCCUUCGGGGUUAGAUACAUCUGUGCUAAGUUGUAGCUUUUCAUAGACAACUUGUUGACUAUGUUUAGUCAUGCGGCUUACUCGCUUAUGCUAUUUUACCUACGCUUAGGAUGUUGACAAAAUGGUUUUAAACGACCCGUCUUGAAACACGGACC
rnacentral:rRNA from 1 species